AACCACAUCUUCAGACCACAGAUAGAACGAGCAAUUCAUGAGUUCCUGGCAGCCCAGAAAAAAGAAGCCGUGCCAGCACCACCUCCAGAACCUGAAAGCCAGGACCCUGCUGCUCCAUCGCAGGACGCUUCCUAAAAAUAUGCCUGACAUGUUUUGGAAGCUCCAUUGAAUUAACGGUGAAGACCUGGAUUCAGUUACAUAAGAGCACAACUUCAGAAUGAAGACAGGCCGAAGUCCUCACUGACUUCAGAAUUCAAUGCUGACUGUGGGGCGGUGUCCAGAGGGAAUAGGGAGCAAGUGGGGCUAUAGAAAAGUUGACCAUGUGGGCCCCCACAUUAUGCUGCCGUCCAGCUAGCCUGUCCAAGAGGGUGACACACCGUAGACACUACAGACAUACUAAGAAACACUACAUCACUUUGGGGUUUGUCCUGAAGCGAACCUUUGUACUUGAACUUAGAGACUGUGUAUGGAUUUUAGGGUUUGUGCUUGAUGAUAAACAGAAGCUACAGUGAAGGAACAUAACCAGUCCUAAAGAUGCAGUUUCAAAGAAAGUAAAAGUUAGCCAGGUGUGGUAGAGUUUUAACAAUGCUUAUUUGAUACUAUCAGUUUCUGAGAGUUGCAAAUCAGAGUUUACAGGCCAGUAGCAUCAAACAGCUGUAAGGUCACUGUGACCCCGUUGUAGGUGACUUUUUUAGCUACCACUUCCUUUCCCCUGCAAGAGGUGUCAAGAGUAGGACCCUGGAAUGCCUGAGGAGAUGCAGACUUAAGUGCAAGGAGAAACAUUGGCAGGCUGUCCGUCUAGGGCUCCUUCCUGUCCUGCAAGGGCUAGUGAGUUGGGUGUGUUUAUUUUAUUCUCAUGUUUGUGUUUAGAAAGUGAAUAAAGGGACUUGAGUUUUGUAAUUAAAUCAUUUGAUACUCUGAAA